UCUUGAUCGUAAACUAAUUUAAUUUACCAGAGUACUAUGAAUAGCAAAAUUUAAAACUCAAAGGGCUUGGCGGUGUUUUAGACCCCUCAGGGGAACCUGUCUCGUAAUCGACAAUCCACGUCAAACCUAACCUUUUAUUGUAUAUCAGUUUGUAUACCGUCGUCGCCAGGUAACUUUCAAAAAAUUAGAAGUUAGCGAGCGAAAUAAUUUAAAUUUAAACGUCAGAUCAAGGUGCAGCUAACAAAAAGGUGAGGAUGGGUUACAAUUAUUUUAAUUAUAAAGACGGAUAUAAGAAUGAAAUUUUUUCAUUGAAGGAGGACUUGAAAGUAAAAUAUGAUAUAAGAACUGUUUGAAUAUGGCUCUGAAACGUGC
rnacentral:rRNA from 1 species